rnacentral:rRNA from 1 species
GACGAACCGUGCAAACGUUGUUCGGAAUCACUGGGCUUAAAGGGCGCGUAGGCGGGCAAGCAAGUCGAAGGUGAAAUCCCACGGCUCAACCGUGGAAGUGCCCCCGAUACUGCUUGUCUUGAGGGAGAUAGGGGCGUGCGGAACUUCCGGUGGAGCGGUGAAAUGCGUAGAUAUCGGAAGGAACACCGGUGGCGAAAGCGGCGCGCUGGAUCUCUUCUGACGCUGAGGCGCGAAAGUGUGGGGAGCGAACAGG